rnacentral:rRNA from 1 species
UACGAAGGGGGGCUAGCGUUGUUCGGAAUUACUGGGCGUAAAGGGCGCGCAGGCGGCUCUUCAAGUCAGAUGUGAAAGCCCCGGGCUCAACCUGGGAAUGGCAAUGGAUACUGGCGAGCUAGAGUGUGUCAGAGGAUGGUGGAAUUCCCGGUGUAGCGGUGAAAUGCGUAGAGAUCGGGAGGAACAUCAGUGGCGAAGGCGGCCAUCUGGGACAACACUGACGCUGAGGCACGAAAGCGUGGGGAGCAAACAGG